AGAGAAACUGGUCAGAGGGCUUGGUCCUCCUAUUAAAUGAGAUAGUAGUGCUAUGAAAGUGUAAAGUAGUUUUUUUCUUGUUCAAUUUCUGUUGUGCUGAGUAUGCAGAAAAGAGAAUGUGUUCUUCUAAGGAUUCUGGGAAGUGUUUUUAAGUGUUUUUCUAACAUAUCUAGAGAAGUCUGAAAGCAUUUUAUUUACCAAGGACUAAGACUGCUUCUGAGCCUACAAGUGACAGUCACGCAUUCUGAACACGAGCCAUGAGCUCUUGGUCAUGCUUCCAGAUCCAAGGGGCACUCCAGCAGUUACCAGUACAGCAUACCAAACUGCCCUGAAGUAGGUCCUUUGUCCCUUCCCACUCAGCAUCAGUUGCUUGCGUCUUUUGGAAGAUGCUGCCUGGGGCCCAGCAGAGCUGGAGGUGAUGGAAGCUUAAAGCAGAGGGCCAUAGGGUUUGUGCCAUCUUUCACCAGGAUGGGAACCGAGCUGUUGAAAGGAACAAGUUGUCUCAUACCCAACCUCUUGGAGAUACCAAACCAAACUUGCAAAAAUGUACUGAUGAAGAACUAAAUAGUAUUGGCUGGAGAUAAAGAAAUCCCAGACUUUCCUUAUCACUAUUUUUGUAAGCAAUACUGAUGGAAAUACAGGAAGAACUGUGAUGAUCACAGAAUUGAAGUGCUGACAAUAGGUUUGUCUGUGCUAAGUGUGCUGAAUCCUGCUGGUUUGUGAAGAUCUUCAGGCCAAGUGGAGCAGUGUGACACACUCUGAAGCAAAGUGCAAGAUCUGCCGAAGAGAUGUUUCUCCUGCUCUGUAUAGGACGCUGGCUGAUCUGCCCUGUUGUGGAUCUUGUUGCUGAAGCUCACCUGCUUUGUUCUCUGACUUCAUCUUUUAAUCUAAAGAGGUCUUACACCUGCUGAGAAUGGUGGAUUUUUACCAUUCAUGGACAGGAUUCAGGCUGAUGGAUGGAGCACAGGCACAAUCGUGCACGCAGUAAGAACUUUGCCUUGGGAAGUCACAGAGAAAUAAUAAAGUGCAUAUCCUUCAAUGUGUAUUGUGACUUUAGGGGAGCAAUUAUUUGGGACCAUCCUAAUUGGCUCUAUGUUAGAAUAUUCUGUAGCAUUAUUUUGAUCUGUGUUCCCACCUCCCUUGCAGACUGUGUAUGUGGCGUUAGCAAGACUAAUUGUUUUGGAUAGCCUAAUGCUCUGUCUUUAUCAUCACAAAAAGAUGGAAGAACAGAAUCUGCUUCCCUAUCUGCAAGCAUCCUGGUGCUUUAUCUGUAUGUAUGUAGCUGAAGGCUACACUGGGUCUCUUUGCUCUUGUAGCUAGCUAAUUCCAGCACCGGGUACCUUUGGCAGUGACUUAUAUCCAUGAUGGUACCUAUGAUUCCUCUGUGAAGUGGGCAUGUCCAUUUCUAUCCACAGUUCUUUCACUCUAAUUAAAUUACUGGAACACAGUGGCCUUAAACGUGGCUUAGAAGCUACAGAGUAGGUGACAGCCUUCAUACCAGUGUGCUAUGUCAUGGUUCUCCUACUGCUUCUGGG
ensembl:lncRNA